GACGUAGGUGGCGAACGUUAUCCGGAAUUAUUGGGCGUAAAGGGUGCGUAGGCUGCGGAGCAAGUCUGGUGUGAAAUUUGUGAGCUCAACUCGCAACUAGCACCUGAUACUACUUUGCUAGAGAUCUGGAGAGGAGCUUGGAAUUCUCGGUGUAGCAGUGAAAUGCGUAGAUUUCGAGAAGAACGCUCGCUGCGAAAGCGAAGCUCUGGCCAGAUUCUGACGCUGAGGCACGAAGGCUAGGGGAGCAAACGGG
rnacentral:rRNA from 1 species